rfam:Schistosoma mansoni, Puerto Rico, WGS project CABG01000000 data, contig: 0034
GCACUGCUGAGGAGUCCCAUAACAGGACGAAACGACGAUCCAGUGC